AGCGAACGCUGGCGGCAGGCUUAACACAUGCAAGUCGAACGCCCCGCAAGGGGAGUGGCAGACGGGUGAGUGACACGUGGGAACGUACCCUUUGGUUAGGAAUAACUUGGGGAAACUCAAGCUAAUACCGGAUAAGCCCUUAUGGGGAAAGGUUUACUGCCGAAGGAUCGGCCCGCGUCUGAUUAGCUAGUUGGUGAGGUAAUGGCUCACCAAGGCGACGAUCAGUAGCUGGUCUGAGAGGAUGAUCAGCCACACUGGGACUGAGACACGGCCCAGACUCCUACGGGAGGCAGCAGUGGGGAAUAUUGGACAAUGGGGGCAACCCUGAUCCAGCCAUGCCGCGUGAGUGAUGAAGGCCUUAGGGUUGUAAAGCUCUUUUACCCGGGACGAUAAUGACUGUACCGGGAGAAUAAGCCCCGGCUAACUUCGUGCCAGCCGCCGCAGUAA
rnacentral:rRNA from 1 species